AUUGAACGCUGGCGGCAGGCCUAACACAUGCAAGUCGAGCGGAGCGGCGGACGGGUGAGUAAUGCCUAGGAAUCUGCCUGGUAGUGGGGGAUAACGUACGGAAACGGGCGCUAAUACCGCAUACUAUAAGAUGAGCAUAGGUAGGAUUAGCUAGUUGGUGGGGUAAAGGCCUACAAAGGCGACGGUCCGUAACUGGUCUGAGAGGAUGAUCAGUCACACUGGAACUGAGACACGGUCCAGCCUCUUACGGGAGGCAGCAGUGGGGAUUAUUGGACAAUGGGCGAAAGCCUGAUCCAGCCAGGCCGCGGGGGGUAAGAGGGUCUUCGGAUUUUAAAUCACUUGAAGUUGGGAGGCGUUACCAACAGAAUAAGCACCGGCUAACUUCGUGCCAGCAGCCGCGGGAAUAC
rnacentral:rRNA from 1 species